rnacentral:rRNA from 1 species
GAGGCUUAACACAUGCAAGUCGAGGGGCAGCACGAUGUAGCAAUACGCUGGUGGCGACCGGCGCACGGGUGAGUAACGCGUAUGCAACCUACCCUGUUCUGGGGGAUAGCCUUUGGAAACAGGGAUUAAUACCGCAUACAGCAGGGGCACCACAUGGAGAUAUUGCUAAAGAUUUAUCGGUAAUAGCUGGGGAUGCGUCUGAGUAGUUAGGUGGUGGGGUAACGGCCUACCAUGACGAUGAUCAGUAGGGUGCGUCAGAGCGUAGUCGCCCACACUGGCACAGAGAUACGGGCCAGACUCCUACGGGAGGCAGCAGUAGGGAAUAUUGGGCAAUGGAUGCAAGUCUGACCCAGCCAUGCCGCGUGGAGGAAGAAGGUCCUCUGGAUUGUAAACUCCUUUUUUGGGGGAAGAAGAGACACCUUGCGAGGUGUUGUGACGGUACCCUAAGAAUAAGCCACGGCUAACUACGUGCCAGCAGCCGCCGCGGUAA